GCUGCUGUGUUAUUUGUAAAAGAUGAAUCAUCUUGUUUCAAGAAAUAGACUUGAAUUGAAACAACAAAUUUGCUUUAUUGAAAACUGCAUGGCACGCCCAACUCAUGGUACAGUGUGGCUAUUACAUUUCCAUCAAACCAUGUCCAUGUGAUAUGUAAAAAAGACAGAGGCAAAAGAGGCACUCUGGACAUACUGCACCACAUUAUUCCACAAGUAAUAAGUACAAAUAAAUGUUGUCAUCAAUUACAGUGUUUGUCAGUGCUUAAAAAAAAAAUCAGCCCAAAUACCCACACUCAAUACAGACUCAAGAAUGAUGUUUGAUGAUGUCUGUGAGAUCAUACAUCAGUGGAAUGUACUUGCUAUUAUUGAAGUUUGCAUAGUAGUUUGGUGUAUAAUCAACAAGCUUUUCAGCAUCCAUGAAAAUAUUGGCUUGAGCAAGGUCGGGAACUUCUACCUCAUAAGCUAAAUAAUGAUCAUUCCACCCAACUGUAGAGAGACGUUGGCAUUCAAAACAUAACACUGACACAUUUAAAAUAUAAAUGUUUUUACAAGUGCAAACUUCGAUGACAUUAGAAAUAACCAAAGAUUUUCCACAUGUAUGCUUAUUUUUAUGUUGCAUAAUCCACAGGAAGGAAACUAUAUGUUCAACGUGCUCUAUUUCUUAGAAUUCUUUAAUCUUUCUUUUGACAUAGUAAACAUUUUUCACCUCAGAGGCUGGGCUCAUGUCAACUUCACUUGAACAAAAUGUUUCUCAUGCACAUUCUGACUACAUUCAUAAAGUUGGUUGUGCUUAACAAGAGACUUACAGAUAUUUUUAAAAUUACUUUUCAAAGCCCACUGCUUAAAAAAGCAAUGCUUUGACUCAAAGCGCAUACACAUAUGCCUCACUGUAGGACCAAGUGCCUUAAUCUGAGAGGGAAGAUGCAGCAAAUAAUGCUGUUUAGGUAUAAUAUUUGCAUCUGGAAACAGUUGUUUAAAAUGUUUCAAAUGUUGCUCUAUUAAAAGCUUCAGCCUUGAAAGAGUUUAGAGAGCUAUAAUAGGUGAAAACAGAAUUUUGACUAUCUCUAACAACUUGAGUAGCAUUUGUGUGUAAUCAUUUUCUCCAAUUUUGUCAAUGAGAAAUGGCAGGAUCUUUAACAAAAACAAGAUGCUUUAAAACACAUUUGAUUUCAUAUGGGGUAACACCUUCAAGAAUGACAUGCAUGAUGUCUUGUGGGGUUUGAUUGAUUAUAUCAAAGUGAGGAAAUUCUGCUAAUUUGCUUAUCCUGUUUAUGCCAUAUGUCAUUUUUAGAUUGUCUUUCAGAAAGUCAGUAUUUUCCUUUUCAGUGUCAUUACAUUGGCUGUUAUGACUUGCCAUUGUCCAUUUAACAAACAAAUCUUCAUUAAAUUGCCUUGUCUUCAAAGUUGCAUUCGCAGUGCCUGCAUUUACUUUAGGCAAACCCCACUCGUAUCUUAAAUACAGCCACACAUGCUGAGCUAGAGUGUCUCCGCACACAGACAUAAGUCUCACCUUUUGCAGUGACAACCUGGACAACAUUACACAGCUCAGUUAAGUCACGGUUAUUUCUCUCAAAUAUCUCAUCAAUACCACAAUGGGAAAGAUCUUUUGAUUUUACCAUGGCAAGCAGACGAAUGGCAGCAAGUCUUGAUCUGUAUUCAGGGUUGAUGUUACCUAAGGUGUAAUAAAUCAAUAACAAUUUGUUUUUGUUUGCCCGAGAUCCAAGAGGAUUGCAUAACUCAAUUUCAUCUGUAUAUAAAACCAAAUGCAAUGCUCUGGGAAAUUACAAAAACAGUGGGUGCGACUUAAAAAUGUCUCCAUCAAUGAAAUCAUGAAGAAAUCCAUCCUUGUGUAACAGGGCCACUCCACCCAGGGACUCUGCGUUGUGUUGUGUUGUGCUUUUGUGCUGUCCAGAAUAUGUAUUGCACACCGACACAGAACUUGAGCAAGUCUGACAACAAUACUUUGAGCUGUCGAAGAGAGGCGAACAGCGCAACUGCCAGAUGUCAAAGGAGCUCAGAUGCCGGCUCAAUCGAAACACCAUGACCAGACAAGGAAGAUCCCAAAGCCUACCUGAAGAAGCACCCUCUGCCCUGUCCAGUCCUGAUGCUAACAAGUCUGCAGAUGUUGACAGUCCAGACACCUACAGUCCAGCAACCAUGGCCAAGCACUACAAGACACUACAAACUUUGUAUAAAAGAACAAAUCUGAACCACCAGGAUGUCUCUCAUCUCUUGGAUUUAGAAUUUGUGGCCAGACGAGCGUUCAUUGAUUCAAAUACCGUUCGCGAGAAAGACAGACGCUAGAAGAUGAUGGAGGAGCUUCAAUGCAUUUUGGAUAAGGAUAAUACCAACUGUAUCGAUGAACUGAAGGAAAGAUGGCAAGACUUCUGCCAGAAGGUGCAGUUUUUUGGUCUUUGGAAGAAGGCGCUGAAACCCCCAAUGGGAAUGGACAAAGGUAAUGAAUCUUUUCCUGCAGCUGAACAGGCUCUUGAGAUCUUACGUGUGCUGCCAUCACUGUUCCCCUCCACGUCUGCUCCUCCAAAGAGGCUACAAGAUGCAAGUGAGGCUCUGGUCCAUGUCCUUGAGGAAAAAAAAAAGACCCCAAUUUCUACUUGAAGAAACGCCCUCUCUCCUGCCCAGUACUGAUUGUCAGUCCAUCCAACUGCCUCCUAGCGGUAGGAGAUGUGGCAAUAACCACUUUUCAAAAAGACAAGCUUACUGAGAGUGCCUUAUACCUCAUGGCCUACUACUGUAUUAUACCCUACACCUGACUUAUCCAAAGUGUGUAGCCACUCUGCUUUCAGUCAUACAGACAGAGGUCCUCUUAGACGAAAUCCAUGCGAGAAAUCUCACAUCGUCUUACAAGAAAAGCAUGGCUGAGUGUAAAGGUUUUAUUGGCCAAUAAAACCAGUGGUCAUAUGGUGUAGAAUAGCACUUCCUCUUUCCCUCCAUGGGUACUACAAUCCAUGCUCAUUGCUAUUGAUUUUUGGUCGGAAUUUGGCUAAGUUAGCUCAGUGUUAAUUUGGGGUGCACAACAAUAUUAGCUAACAUGCUGAUAUUGGCAAAAAGUCCAGUAUGGUGCAUCCUUGAUGAUGUUACAAUGGUUUAUAGUGUAUUGAGGGACUAUUUGUUUAUGUAAGCCCAGAAUCUUUAAUUUGAAUGUUGCAUUAUUAAGCAUUUGUAUUAAGAAUGAAUGUCACAGGUGGAGCAGUUUUAGUGUACCUAGUGUGUCUAUAUGCUUUGAGUGUUUGAGUUUUGUACAUGUAUCGAGGGGCACAUUGGUCAGAUGUUUGGACCUGACCUUAACUCACUCACAUAUUUGGUAUAUUCUGCUAUGUUUACAUAUUGCAGUUCCAUAAAUACUGUGAGCCAAAAUGUUGAAAAUGAAAAAAAUAAAUGAGGCUGUUUCCCUUUU